rnacentral:rRNA from 1 species
UACGGAGGGGGCAAGCGUUGUCCGGAAUUAUUGGGCGUAAAGAGCGUGUAGGCGGCCAGAUAAGUCCGCUGUGAAAUCUCGAGGCUCAACUUCGAGCUGUCGGUGGAAACUAUCUGGCUAGAGUCCGGAAGAGGAGAAUGGAAUUCCUGGUGUAGCGGUGAAAUGCGCAGAUAUCAGGAAGAACACCCGUGGCGAAGGCGGUUCUCUGGGACGGUACUGACGCUGAGACGCGAAAGCGUGGGGAGCGAACAGG